GAUGAACGCUGGCGGCGUGCCUAAUACAUGCAAGUCGAGCGAACAGACGAGGAGCUUGCUCCUCUGACGUUAGCGGCGGACGGGUGAGUAACACGUGGAUAACCUACCUAUAAGACUGGGAUAACUUCGGGAAACCGGAGCUAAUACCGGAUAACAUGUUGAACCGCAUGGUUCAACAGUGAGAGACGGUCUUGCUGUCACUUAUAGAUGGAUCCGCGCCGCAUUAGCUAGUUGGUAAGGUAACGGCUUACCAAGGCAACGAUGCGUAGCCGACCUGAGAGGGUGAUCGGCCACACUGGAACUGAGACACGGUCCAGACUCCUACGGGAGGCAGCAGUAGGGAAUCUUCCGCAAAGGGCGAAAGCCUGACGGAGCAACGCCGCGUGAGUGAAGAAGGUCUUCGGAUCGUAAAACUCUGUUAUUAGGGAAGAACAAAUGUGUAAGUAACUAUGCACGUCUUGACGGUACCUAAUCAGAAAGCCACGGCUAACUACGUG
rnacentral:rRNA from 1 species